AGCCUCUCCCUUGCUCUCUCCCACCACAAACACCCCGACAGAUGGAUGCCUCCUAGCCCGCCGGCCUCUACACCCCGCCGAGAUGGGAGUACCGCAGCAUCCCACGGGAGCAGCCACGCCCACCUGAUGAGCACUGGUGGCUUCCUUCCCACUCAGCUCUGGGAACAAGAGACCACCCCUGCAAAGAAUGCAGCCCCUCCACUUCCCUUCUGUGCCCUCCCUGUGCACCCCCCUCCACCAACUGCUCUCCAGAAAGGAUUCUUUUUUAGGUGGUUUAUGGAGCUGCUCUUGGGGAGCCUGGAGACUACCUAAGAAGCUGAUAGGGUGGCCCAGAUAAACACACCAGGGUGACCUGCGGGACAGAGAUCUGAGCAGGGCCAGCACUCCCGCCAACCCAUCCAGGUUGCAACAGUCUACAGUCACAUCCCCAGGAAGGAGCAGCCAGAUCUCCCCAUCACUAUUUACCAAUGCUUUUCUCUAGAAUAAGGCUUUACUGUCAGUUCUCGUUAUGAAAAUUAUCGAUGUUCCUUGAAGAAAAGCAAGCAGAAGAGAAUAAAUAUUGCUCUCAACUGGAACUCCCUGAAAUAACCUCUUGGAAUAUUGUUACCCUGCAUUGCACUGACACAGGAGCGUGCCGGGCAGCCCACGUGAUUCCCUUCACACCACUUCCCUGGCAUGGAUGCGAUUCCACAUAUUUUAAACAUUAAAGCCAUGGGGAUGAUGAUCACUGGGUCUGGCUCACGGGAUGUUGAGAGGUCCCCAGGUUGGGGUGUACCAAGGGCUCUCCCCAGUGCCUGGCACAGCAAAUUCCCGGGUGGUUGCUGUUUUCCACUGAUACUUGAGGCUUCCAAGAGUUGGUGGCAAGGGGCUCACCCAGAGCUGAAGACCCCAGCCCAUUCCUGUGCGAGGGCUCCAGGCACCUUGGAAGCACCGUGGGCCGGGGAGCCAGGACUGGCUGGGUGUGGAUCCCCGUGUGUCCUUGUCACUGCGUGACCCAGCUGGAAAGCGCGGUCAAUAGUGUCUGGGAAUUGUGAAAAUUGUGUGAGGUAUCCGCACACAGUAGGUGUUCAGUAAAGGGUUGCUGAGUGUGUAAA